rnacentral:rRNA from 1 species
UACGUAGGGCGCAAGCGUUGUCCGGAAUUAUUGGGCGUAAAGAGCUCGUAGGCGGUCUGUUACGUCCGCUGUGAAAACCCGGGGCUUAACCCUGGGCUGGCAGUGGAUACGGGUAGACUAGAGGCAGGUAGGGGAGAAUGGAAUUCCCGGUGUAGCGGUGAAAUGCGCAGAUAUCGGGAGGAACACCGGUGGCGAAGGCGGUUCUCUGGGACGGUACUGACGCUGAGACGCGAAAGCGUGGGGAGCGAACAGG